GCUGAUCAAGGCCGGACUCCAACUGACAGGCCCACUGCCUGCAGGCCCCGCCCUCUCAGCCAAUGGCGACACCCACUUUCUGGGGCAGGUGCCUGUGCAGUCAAGGGCCUCACACUACUCACAGAGCUGACCAGGAGGAAAGCAUACAGUCCAGUGUUCCAGCUGCACGGGGUCUUGCUAUGUAGCCCAGGCUGGCCUUGCACUUGAAGCAAUAUUCCUGCCUCAGCCUCCUGAGUGCUGGGAUUACAGGUAUGCACCACCACUGCUGGACUCUUAGCCCUUUUCUUAUUUUGAGACAAGGUCUCCCAAAAUUGCCCUUGGGGGUACUCAAACUCAUGAGCCUCCUUCCUCAGUGUAGGGAAAAAUGAAGUCUAAGAUGGCUACACGUUGGUUCACGCUGUAUGUGCGUGGAGGGGGUGAUUUCCAGUAGCCAUUAAGUCCAAGUCAGCAAGAUUUCGGCACAGGCACACCUUGUCCGUCUCACUGUAAGUAACUUACAAGGUUGUUACUGGCACAUAGCCAGUACUGUAUAUUUUGGUAUAAAUCUAGACUGCCAUGAGGGCUGGCAGGAGACUAAGUAGCUGUGGACUGCAGCAAGAACGGGCUGGCUAGGGGUGAAGAACUGUUGUGUGUGUACAGGGGCAGAGCGGCUGGACAGAUAGGGCAAGUGGGCAACUGGGCAGUGGCUGGUGGUAGCUGAGAAUAAAAGAUGUUUAACAGUGCCCACAGCUCUGCAUUCCUUCUUUGGGCUGCCUGAAUCUCAAGUGAACAGCCCCAGCCUGAAAUGGUGACAAGGUAACCUCCCUGUAUGUUGUGAUUACAGGCAUGUGCCACCAUACCAAGCUAAAAACGUGUCCUUAAGCUAUGUGUGUUAACUAUCAAGAUAGAUUUCUUUCUUUUCUGAUGAGGGCAACAUUUAGUAAGUACUGCAAAAGGUUAAUUUUUGAAAUCGUCUUCAGCUAGCCAGGAAGAAACUUGUAUUUAGUGAGAACUAUAAUCUAAUCUAUGUUCUCUUCUAUCAAAACAAAGCAUUUACCUAGCCUUUUCUUGAGAAGAGACUAAAGAACAUUUAAAGUUACUGGUAUUUCUUUUCCUAAAGCAAAAUGAAGUUUUCCUUUAGUAUCAUUACUGUCAAUUUUUGUGAAGUUUGUUGUUCAACAGGGACAUGCUUUCACUCUUUAUUUCUGUCAAGUUGUUACUUUUUUUCCAGGGUGGAAAUAAGACAAAGCAUAAGGAAAGGUAAAGAAAUCUGGCACUGUGCCCAAUGAACGCACUAAAAACUCCUGGAGAUAAAGGCUCUUGAUAUACAAGGGAAAGGGAAAAGGAAUGUUAUCACUUACGUGCAUGUUUUCUUUAGCUUGGGUAUGUAGUUUUACUUCCUUUAUUUUGACAUUUAUUCACUUCCCCUGUCUUAAAUUUUUGCCUGAACUUUGAGAAAAACACAACAGUAUAAAUAUAGUGUUACGGCUUG
rnacentral:lncRNA from 1 species